rnacentral:rRNA from 1 species
GAUGAACGCUGGCGGCGUGCCUAAUACAUGCAAGUCGAGCGAACGGACGAGAAGCUUGCUUCUCUGAUGUUAGCGGCGGACGGGUGAGUAACACGUGGAUAACCUACCUAUAAGACUGGGAUAACUUCGGGAAACCGGAGCUAAUACCGGAUAAUAUUUUGAACCGCAUGGUUCAAAAGUGAAAGACGGUCUUGCUGUCACUUAUAGAUGGAUCCGCGCUGCAUUAGCUAGUUGGUAAGGUAACGGCUUACCAAGGCAACGAUGCAUAGCCGACCUGAGAGGGUGAGCGGCCACACUGGAACUGAGACACGGUCCAGACUCCUACGGGAGGCAGCAGUAGGGAAUCUUCCGCAAUGGGCGAAAGCCUGACGGAGCAACGCCGCGUGAGUGAUGAAGGUCUUCGGAUCGUAAAACUCUGUUAUUAGGGAAGAACAUAUGUGUAAGUAACUGUGCACAUCUUGAGGGUACCUAAUCAGAAAGCCACGGCUAACUACGUG